GAAGCAGCUGGUGGAGGCACCUGCUGAUUCGUAAUCGGAGGUCGGGGUUCGAGUCCCCACGGCUCCUC
rnacentral:tRNA from 1 species